GUCUACAGCCAUACUACCCUGAAUGUGCCCGAUCCCAUCUGAUCUCAGAAGUUAAGCAGGGUCAGACCUGGUUAGAACUUGGUUGGGAGAAAAAGUGGCACAGGUAUAGACA
rnacentral:rRNA from 1 species